rnacentral:lncRNA from 1 species
UGCAGGGGUUGACUGGCUCGGUGACAAGCAAGUGAAGUUUGUCUACAAUGAGGAAAUAAUUGCCGAAAGUUAUGUAAAAGUUGUUUGGCUUUGGAGGAGCACUUCUCAUGGCCAAGUAUUUGUUCUUGGCUCCGGGGCUGCCUGUGCCUUUUCAUCCCCUUUCUCCUGAAGCUUUUGAAGAGAUUAAACACCUCGCAGGCAGAUCUUGGAAGCAGCACACUCGAGAAGAUGCGGGCUGUUCUACGACAUACUCUGGUGCUUUUGGAAUGAAGGGACUGGAUGUAGCCGCCCACUGCUGCGUGACCCCCUCCUCUCCUACGAGGGUUCACAAGCCUCAUCCACCGCCGUAAGCAUGUCUCUCUGCAGAAGUCAAGCGACUUUCUUGUGCCCUGCAGCUCGAUGAAGCGCCCUGUUUCAGGCUUUUGUUCUAGUUUCCUGCAGCCUUCAUGUGACACAAGGAAAUUUCAAGUCCAUAUGCACAAAAUAAAUCAUAAUGCCGUUAUCAUUUCGUCUCCAGUAGCACCUCUUGAUGCCAUUCAGCAAAAGCUGAAACAAGAAGGUUUUAAUGAGAGCAGAAUGGGAGAGGAACCAAGAACUCCAUCAUCUGCAAGUGAAGACCUUCUGGAUGGAUGGCCAGUGAUAGAAGAAACCCAUUCUGUGGAGCUGUAA